AAGGAUCAUUUAAUGAGUUUUGAAACAGGAUUUGAUGCUGGCCUACACCAAGGCAUGUGCUCAGUUCUACUCAAUCCAUUUCACACCUGUGCACUUUCAAAGUUGUAGUCCUCCGUCAUGGGAGCCGUAUCUUGUAAUGAGAUGCUGGGAUUGCGCUUUGCCCAUUUAUCACAAACACUAUUAAAGUCUUGUAGAAUGUCAUUAGCCUAUGGGCUUAAUACAAUACAACUUUCAACAACGGAUCUCUUGGCUCUC
rnacentral:misc_RNA from 1 species